rnacentral:tRNA from 1 species
AUGCCGCUGCCGGACCAGGGCUACGGCACCCACCUGACCGGCGGGAACCACAGCCGGAUCGAGGGGGCUUCGAUCAUGCCGGACGCCGCAUCC